rnacentral:rRNA from 1 species
GCGUUGUUCGGAAUUACUGGGCGUAAAGCGCACGUAGGCGGCUAUUCAAGUCAGAGGUGAAAGCCCGGGGCUCAACCCCGGAACUGCCUUUGAAACUAGGUAGCUAGAAUCUUGGAGAGGUCAGUGGAAUUCCGAGUGUAGAGGUGAAAUUCGUAGAUAUUCGGAAGAACACCAGUGGCGAAGGCGACUGACUGGACAAGUAUUGACGCUGAGGUGCGAAAGCGUG